UUCACUACUCUAUCCUAACAACAAGUAAAAAGCUGAGCAGACUGAAAAAUCAACAGCUCUUCUUGGAUUCCCAAGAGAGGCGAGGACACAGGGCAAACCGCUGUCCCCAAGAUUGGAGAGACAGACAGGCAAAUACAGGGAGCCACCCUUACCAGAACAAAGACUCACAAGCAAAACCCCUGGCAGGAAACAGUGCUGGGGAAGGAAAACCUGAACUGUAAUUGACAGAUUGCUAGAAGCUCACUGGACAGCUCUGAGAGUUCAAAAACUCCAGGAAAACCCCAUCACAGGGAGGCCCACACAAUAUUGUGAGAUUUACUUCCAGGAGCUCGACCAGGUUCCCACAGCUCCGUAUGCUGAACUUGUGCAGAUGAAUCCUAAACAACUUUCAAGAGAAGUCAUUUUAAAAGUGAGUCUCAAUCUAAAUUGAUUCACUUUGAGAGAACAAAAAGGGACAGAUUUCCAAGCGAUGAAAGAGAUACUCUAGCUCAUCAUCACUCAUGUGGUGACCGAUGGGCUUUCUCUGGAAGGAGACUGACCUAAUCUCCCUCCACUUCUCCUUCUUGCUGCCCUUCUCUCGGUGCUUCUAGGACAAAAAAUAUGGAAAAUCUUUUCCACCUGUUAUUUGUGAAGAAAAAAGGGAGGGUGGCCACAUGACGACACUUGAUAUAACAGGAGCCUGGAAACAUUCACACGCACGCACACCCCCUUCCAGCAGCAAGGAUUUCUGCAAGUGCCUCUGGGGACCCGGAAGGCGUUGCUUGAGUUCCACGCCAUCAAAUGGGAUGAAAAGACCGUUAUUUCAAAUGACUCCAUCACCAUCGCCGGUUAUCCAGGACUGAGGUGGUUCAACCUUAUUAGCAAAUGUCCUAUGAAAGAUAAACCUGGAUAGCCAAAACCUCGAGAGUGAAGUCUCUUGGAAAAUUCAGUGAUCCCCCGCAUGGGUGAUCUUCCGGGGCACCAGAGUUUGAACAUCAAGUCCAAAAGCAUAGAGAGAAGUUUUCACCAGUUGGACUGAGAAG